AUGAAGGACGAGUAGGCAAUGGCGGAAGAGGCGCCAUUUUUUGAAACGAAGGAAGAUGAAGAAGACGACAAAAAGAGACGAAGAAGAGUUUUCGUCAGAAAAAAUGAAAAGAGAUAAAAGAGAUAGAAGAGACAAAAAGAAUGAGAAGCUUGGGAAAGAAGAAAAGGCUGUCGUAUCGAAUUGUCGCAUCGAAGCGAGUUCCGAGGUCGGCUAUAAUGAUGAAUAGACGGCAGUAANAAAGAAUGCAAGUUGUAAUUAAAUGUAUCAAGUAGAAUGGUUGUAAUAGAAUAGUUAAGUAUCUCUCUUUUGUUUCACUUGUAUGUCUUCUACUUGUGACGCUUGCUCUUGUAAUGUUCAGCACUGUUUGUGCUCUCGCUGUUGUUGCAUGAUCAUGUAUGUAUUCAAGUUGAUUUCCUGGGGACUUGUUGCACAUGAUCUCGUUG
rnacentral:lncRNA from 1 species